rnacentral:rRNA from 1 species
ACGGAGGGUGCAAGCGUUAUCCGGAUUCACUGGGUUUAAAGGGUGCGUAGGCGGGUAAGUAAGUCCGUGGUGAAAUCCCUGAGCUUAACUCAGAAACUGCCGUGGAUACUAUUUGCCUUGAAUAUUGUGGAGGUGAGCGGAAUAUGUCAUGUAGCGGUGAAAUGCUUAGAUAUGACAUAGAACACCAAUUGCGAAGGCAGCUCACUACACAAUUAUUGACGCUGAGGCACGAAAGCGUGGGGAUCAAACAGGAUUAGAUACCCUGGUAGUCCACGCCCUAAACGAUGAUUACUCGACAUCAGCGAUACACUGUUGGUGUCUGAGCGAAAGCAUUAAGUAAUCCACCUGGGAAGUACGAUCGCAAGAUUG